UACAGAGGUCCCAAGCGUUGUUCGGAUUUACUGGGCGUAAAGGGCGCGCAGGCGGUUCUGUUUGUCGAGUGUGAAAGCCCCGGGCUCAACCUGGGAACUGCGCUCGAAACGGCGGAACUAGAGUUCGGGAGAGGAGAGUGGAAUUCCCAGUGUAGAGGUGAAAUUCGUAGAUAUUGGGAAGAACACCGGUGGCGAAGGCGGCUCUCUGGACCGAUACUGACGCUGAGGCGCGAAAGCGUGGGGAGCAAACAGG
rnacentral:rRNA from 1 species